rnacentral:misc_RNA from 1 species
ACAAACUUGGUCAUUUAGAGGAAGUAAAAGUCGUAACAAGGUAACCGUAGGUGAACCUGCGGUUGGAUCAUUAUUGAAAUCCAAAAAAUUUCUAGAGGGGUGGAUAGACUUCCUUCAAGGGGUCUUGAAACCACUCGACACCCCAAAACCUUUUUACCGCUUUUCUUUAACGAGAAAAGUGAGUGAACCUUUUUUUUCCUUCCUCAUCCCCUUUUCUGUUUCUCGUCAAGAGUAAGCUUAAAAGGCUGAGACUGGAGAAAAAAACCUAGAUAAACUUUUGUUUAUGUUAUUUUUUUCUGUUUUCCUUGAGAAAUCAAAGAAAAAAAACAACUUUUGACAAUGGAUCUCUAGGCUCUCGCAUCGAUGAAGAACGCAGC